rnacentral:tRNA from 1 species
AGACAACAAAAUGUUUAAUAUUAUUAUUUUGUCACCUUAGGUCGAUCGGUAUCUCACGUUCUUAAUUUGUUAAGAAUUUCAUUUCCUAAGUUUUUCUAGGUCACACCCAUUAUUUUUCCUGGGCCAUUAGCUCAGGUGGUUAGAGCGCACCCCUGAUAAGGGUGAGGUCCCUGGUUCAAGUCCAGGAUGGCCCAUAUCUCUAUGUUGGGGGUAUAGCUCAGUUGGUAGAGCGCCUGCUUUGCAAGCAGGAUGUCAGCGGUUCGAGUCCGCUUACCUCCACUGAUUACCACCUCUUCCAUAACCGGUAGAAAGGAAAUGUUUUGAGUUGUGAUCAUUAUUCUGAACGAAUCUAGCUUCCUAAUGAAAUCAUUAAGAUGCUGGACUCAUUGAAUCAAUUUCAUUGUUUUCAGAGAACCUUGACAACUGCAUAGAUUAUUUUUAAAGACAAUAAGCAUCUUUAAUGAUGCAGAUUUAUUAUUUGUGCGAAUGCAUUAAUAACAAUUCUAUUAAGCUGAUGCUUCAAUUUUUGAAGUUAUU